rnacentral:rRNA from 1 species
CCAAUAGCGUAUAUUAAAGUUGCUGCAGUUAAAAAGCUCGUAGUUGAAUUUCGGGACCAUCAUGUCGGUCGUGCCUCGGUACGUACUGGUAUUGUUGGUUUCUCCCUUCUGACGAACCAUGAUGUCAUUUAUUUGGUGUUGUGGGGAAACAGGACUGUUACUUUGAAAAAAUUAGAGUGUUUAAAGCAGGCUCACGCUUGAAUACAUUAGCAUGGGAUAAUGAAAUAGGACGUUUGAUUCUAUUUUGUUGGUUUCUAGGAUCGACGUAAUGAUUAAUAGGGAUAGUUGGGGGCAUUAGUAUUCAAUUGUCAGAGGUGAAAUUCUUGGAUUUAUUGAAGACUAACUACUGCGAAAGCAUUUGCCAAGGAUGUUUUCAUUAAUCAAGAACGAAAGUUAGGGGAUCGAAGACGAUCAGAUACCGUCGUAGUCUUAACCAUAAACUAUGCCGACUAGGGAUCGGAUGAUGUUAAUUUUUUAAUGACUCAUUCGGCGCCUUACG